rnacentral:rRNA from 1 species
UACGGGGGGAGCAAGCGUUGUUCGGAUUUACUGGGCGUAAAGGGCGCGUAGGCGGCCACUGCAAGUCGGUUGUGAAAUCUCCGGGCUUAACCCGGAAAGGUCAACCGAUACUGCAGGGCUAGAGUGCGGAAGGGGCAACUGGAAUUCUCGGUGUAGCGGUGAAAUGCGUAGAUAUCGAGAGGAACACCUGCGGCGAAGGCGGGUGGCUGGGCCGACACUGACGCUGAUGCGCGAAAGCUAGGGGAGCGAACGGG